rnacentral:lncRNA from 1 species
CGGGUUUUACCAAGUUAUAUUUACAUUCAGCUCUCAGGGCUUCCAUGUUAUCUUGUCGUGUGGAAGAACGAAUGCCACGAAUUUAACAAAUGAUAGAACCACCCACAAAAAUGAUUAUAUAAAUCAAUAUAUGUAAUUACUGGAUUUUCUGAAUCGCCUACCUUGUAAUUAUUAAAUAAUUCCUUCUUCCACUGUUAUAUCGCUC